UAGGUUUUUUCAAGUUCAGCUCCUUAGAAUUUCCAGCAUCAGAUCCUAAACCCUUUGCAGAAUGGUGUCCAGAACCAAAGAAAAUUAUGGUACUUCCAGAGAAUAGCUGUAAUGUUCCGACAAGAACAAAACCAGAGGUUUUUAUAAUUUCCCAAGGAUGGGAGUCAAUUGAGAUUUUUAACGAUCUCAAUGGAGACAUAAAAUCUAAAAUGGCGGUUGUCUUAGAUGAAAAUGAGGGCACAUGUUUUCCACUUCCAACACAAGAAGACUU